CGGAGACCUUUGCUAACGAACAGACACACAGUUUUCCGUAUCCAAUGUAGUGCAGAGCUCGCCAAAGUUGGAAAUUAGCAUCGUGGAGGAAGAUCCAAUGUUCUAAUGGAAUUUGGUUCAUCUUCCUUGGCCCGAUCGUAGCCCGGCUUUGAACCAUAUCGAGCAUAUAUGGGACAAUAUUGGGCGGAAAGUGCGGGAAAGGACACCCCAGUUCAAACACAUCAUGAAAUAAACGAUGCCCUUCAUCAGAAAUGGUUGCUGCUACCUUAGCAACAAAUUAGUCGAUUUAUGGCAGGAAUCAGAAGACGUUAAGAUGCGGUUAUCCGUUUGAAUGGAGGCUGCGCACAAAGGACUAGUUUUUUGGCGUUUAACGAUCAACCAUGAUG
rnacentral:lncRNA from 1 species